GAGCUGGCCCGGAUCCGGCUUCGCAUGGGGGCCAAGCUGCGGUCGGAACAGAGGAAUCACGGCGUCGUGGGUCACUCUGGUACUCAGAGUGGACAACGGUACAGGAAAAUGCCCCCAAGAGAAUAUGGCGACCUGCCUUCACAACGGUCAUUCAGAUGCACUCGGAAAGUUGUUACUCGUUUCGGUUGACCUUAUUCAUUUAAGAGUCAGCUCCAAACGCUCAGCUGCGGCCCUUGAAAUUCCUAAGCCCUCUAGGCGCCGGCGGAGAUUGGCUAGAGGACGCGCCUUCUGGCGGCGCCCAGUGAUUGGACCUAGUGAAAUACUAGGUCUGCUCUGGUUGGUCCCUGGGGCCAGACUCUAGAACGCUGUUGCUAGGUAACGCCACACGCGUACUACCAGGUGUCUGGAGGAGGUUGUGUGUAGGGAGCCCGCAUUGAUCAGCGUCCUCUGAGCAUUCCACCUCUGUUCCGCUGGCCCACAGGCCUCCGGGAGUGCUUCCUGGCUGCAAAAAUGAAGCCAGUUCUAGGGAGCUAAGCAUAUUUAUGGAAUUUCUUCAUUGUCCCACGUGUGCAACAGCCUUCUUGUGAAUCAUCUAAUUGAGCAACACUCCUUGUGAGGGGAUGUUGUGAAGAUUAAAUGAGAUAAUGUAAUUAAAGAUCCUUUUUAAGAACACUGGAGUUCAGGACCUGAGUUCGGAGCAGUCUGGCACCACUUGGAAUCUGAGAAAAUAGAACUAACCUAGAAAAGGUACUGAAAUUGCACUAGAUAAGUGCCUUUAGAGGGAGAACUUUGUGAGGAAUGGAUCCUUGAGGCUUUCCAAGAAGUCUGACUUCAGGCAUACACUGACCCCCUCAACUCAACAGACUGACUUCUCUGGGACGUGCCUUAUCUUUGGGAUCUCUUCAGAGGACCACAGACCUCAAUUUUUUGUCCCACCCAAGAAACAGAAGUUCUCUCAGAUCCUAGGAAAGAAUAAAUGAGUCAGAGUGGUAUAGGAGUCCCAAAGGAAGCGUGUGUGGGGUGUGUGUGUGUGUACAACUACUGUGAGUCCUCAGCUAGGCGUUAUUGGAACCAUUUUAACGUUUAAAAAACUGGACGUUCAGAAAAAUCAAGUGGUUUGCCCAAGCCCACACCACAUGUAAGAGAAAGAAUCAGGAUCAGUAUUCAAGUCUGUCUGACAUCAGUCCCCAAGUAGUUAACCACUUGGAGAUACUGAAUAUGCUGCCUCUGUGACCCACAGCUUUAGAGCCUCAGAAACAUGGCCUAGGGGGAGUGAGGGGCCUGAGUCUUUGGUCCCAGGCCUUACUUCCAGG